AUACUUACCUGGCAGGGGAGAUACCAUGAUCAGCAAGGUGGUUUUCCCAGCGUGAGGCUCAUCCAUUGCACUGCGGGUGUGCUGACCUCUGUGAUUUCCCCAAAUGUGGGAAACUCAACUGCGCACCAGGGGAAAGCGCGAACGCAGUCCCCCA
rnacentral:snRNA from 1 species